GGGUGAGUAACACGUGAGAAUCUGCCUUCAGGAUGGGGACAACAGUUAGAAAUGACUGCUAAUACCCAAUAGGCCGCAAGGUGAAAGAUUUAUCGCCUGAAGAGGAGCUCGCGUCCGAUUAGCUAGUUGGGGUGGUAAAAGCGCACCAAGGCAACGAUCGGUAGCUGGUCUGAGAGGAUGAGCAGCCACACUGGGACUGAGACACGGCCCAGACUCCUACGGGAGGCAGCAGUGGGGAAUUUUCCGCAAUGGGCGCAAGCCUGACGGAGCAAUACCGCGUGAGGGAGGAAGGCUUUUGGGUUGUAAACCUCUUUUCUCAAGGAAGAAGAACUGACGGUACUUGAGGAAUCAGCAUCGGCUAACUCCGUGCCAGCAGCCGCGGUAAUACGGAGGAUGCAAGCGUUAUCCGGAAUUAUUGGGCGUAAAGCGUCCGCAGGUGGUGCAUCAAGUCUGCUGUCAAAGACCAGGGCUUAACCCUGGGACGGCGGUGGAAACUGGUGGACUAGAGUACGGUAGGGGUAGAGGGAAUUCCCAGUGUAGCGGUGAAAUGCGUAGAGAUUGGGAAGAACACCAGUGGCGAAGGCGCUCUACUGGACCUGUACUGACACUCAGGGACGAAAGCUAGGGGAGCGAAAGGGAUUAGAUACCCCUGUAGUCCUAGCUGUAAACGAUGGAUACUAGGCGUUGCUUGUAUCGACCCGAGCAGUGCCGUAGCUAACGCGUUAAGUAUCCCGCCUGGGGAGUACGCACGCAAGUGUGAAACUCAAAGGAAUUGACGGGGGCCCGCACAAGCGGUGGAGUAUGUGGUUUAAUUCGAUGCAACGCGAAGAACCUUACCAGGACUUGACAUCCCGCGAAUCUCGAUGAAAGUUGAGAGUGCCUUAGGGAGCGCGGAGACAGGUGGUGCAUGGCUGUCGUC
rnacentral:rRNA from 1 species